rnacentral:rRNA from 1 species
GUUAAGUAGGAAGUGAAAAGGUUGGAGCUCAACUCCAACAUUGCUCCCUAUACUGGCUAUCUUGAGUCCCGGAGAGGAAAGCGGAACGACACGUGGAGCGGUGAAAUGCGUUGAUAUGUGUCGGAACACCAAUGGCGAAGGCAGCUUUCUGGACGGGUACUGACGCUCAGGCGCGAAAGCCGAGGUAGCGAACAGGAUUAGAUACCCUGGUAGUCUCGGCCCUAAACGAUGAUCACUAGGUGUCGGGGGGUUUCCCUCGGUGCCGCAGCUAACGCAUUAAGUGAUCCGCCUGGGGACUACGGCCGCAAGGUUGAAACUCAAAGGAAUUGGCGGGGGACCGCACAAGCGGUGGAGCAUAUGGCUUAAUUCGAUGCAACGCGAAGAACCUUACCCAGGCUUGACAUGUAACUGCAAGCUCCCCAAAAGGAGCCGCUUUCGAAGGUGUUACACAGGUGGUGCAUGGCUGUCGUCAGCUCGUGUUGUGAAAUGUUGGGUUAAGUCCCGCAACGAGCGCAACCCUCAUGUUCUGUUGCCAGCGAGUAAUGUCGGGAACUCGGAACAAACUGCCCAUGUAAGUGGGAGGAAGGUGGGGAUGACGUCAAGUCAUCAUGCCCCUUACGCCUGGGGCUGCACAUAUGCUACAAUGGCUGCUACAAAGGGCUGCGAACUCGCGAGAGUAAGCCAAUCCCAAAAAAGCAGUCUCAGUUCGGAUUGGAGUCUGCAACUCGACUCCAUGAAGCUGGAAUCGCUAGUAACCGCAGGUCAGCACUACUGCGGUGAAUACGUUCCCGGUCCUUGCACAUACCGCCCGUCACAUGACGAAAGUUGGUGUUAUCCGAAGUCACCAGGCUAACCGCAAGGAAGCAAGUGCCGAAGGUAGUGCCGAUGAUUGGCGUGAAGUCGUAACAAGGUAACC